AGGCAGUAACAAAUGAGCAUUAGCAAAAAUAGAACAGAAAAUGCUUGACAGAUCUUGAAAAGGCAUAUCCAAUGACUUUCUUACAUUCAUCCAUGGCAGAUAUAAGAUUCCUGUGAGAUGCAGACAACAAACAUUUACUCUAUGUAAUCUAUGACAGAGUCAACUGUAGAAGACAAUCACAGAGCGAGGAAAGAGGAAUAUCUGAAGCUGAUAGACAAGAUCUUCAUCACCUGGAGAACCAGCCCGGUGGUUGACACUGGAAAAUUCACUGGGAUAAGAGGAAAUAAAACAUGAGCGGAAAAGAAAAUGGGGGCAAGAAAACAGGAGAAAAUUAUUCACUUUUUAAAAUGCAGUGCCAAUGAAGAAGUUAGCAAGAACAGUUAUUGUGGGAGAGGCUAACGUUGUCUCACAGCAGAUUCCACAGGCAGUGUGUGGAGUUUACAUUUACCUGAAGGCAGUUUCAAACUUGGAUACACUCAAUUUUUGAGCGAGGAGCUUUUUGACCUCAUCCCAGUCCAUGAGGGGGGCAGCACCUGUCUCG